UACGAGGGGGGCAAGCGUUGUUCGGAAUUAUUGGGCGUAAAGGGCGCGUAGGCGGUGCGGUAAGUCACCUGUGAAAACUCUGGGCUCAACUCGGAGCCUGCAGGCGAAACUGCCGUGCUUGAGUGUGGGAGAGGUGCGUGGAAUUCCCGGUGUAGCGGUGAAAUGCGCAGAUAUCAGGAGGAACACCGGUGGCGAAGGCGGGUCUCUGGGCCGAUACUGACGCUGAGGAGCGAAAGCGUGGGGAGCGAACAGG
rnacentral:rRNA from 1 species